rnacentral:rRNA from 1 species
GACGAACUGUCCUAACGUUGUUCGGAAUCACUGGGCUUAAAGGGCGCGUAGGCGGUCCGCCAAGUCAGGGGUGAAAUCCUGCAGCUUAACUGUAGAAGUGCCUCUGAUACUGGCGGUCUUUGAGGGAAAUAGGGGUGUGCGGAACUUCCAGUGGAGCGGUGAAAUGCGUUGAUAUUGGAAGGAACGCCGGAGGCGAAAGCGGCGCACUGGAUUUCUUCUGACGCUGAGGCGCGAAAGCUAGGGGAGCAAACGGG